rnacentral:tRNA from 1 species
CACGCGAUAGCUCAGCCAGUCAGAGCGGCGGACUCAUAAUCCGCAGGCCGGGGGUGCAAAUCCCUCUCGCGUGACCA